CCACCUAUAACUUUCUUCCA
rnacentral:miRNA from 1 species